UUAAUUGACCUCCUGUGCCUCUGUGGUCCCGUUCCCUGGUGUUUAAAUGAAAAGAGGACACACACACACAACCGCACUGCACGGUGUUUCCCAGGUACACUGAGGAAGACAAUAAAAAAUAAAUAAAUCUGCUGUCUCUCAAUAUUUAUCGUAAUUUACAGUGUUUUGUUGUGUGAGGAGCAGACUACUGGGGUGAUUUGUGCACAGGUAAGUGGCAGUAGGUGGAUGAGUGUGUGUAACGAGUGUAUUAAUGUGUGUGAGGGAAAUAAAGGGGUGUGAGGUAUGACGGGCCAGCCUGCCGCAGCUCACCCCUGGCCUGUUAAACCUUCCGUCAGACUUAAACUAGGCAGUGGCGGUUAGGUCUGACCAGCGGACAUGAAAGCAUAGUCAUGUGGCUCCAUUCACUGCCACGGGUGACUUAUGGUGACGAGAAAUAAAGUAAAUAAUGGCUAAUAUAUACGGACGUCCGGAUCAUCAGUCUGCUUAUAUUUUUUAAAAAGUUGAAUUUUGGCGGGUUUUCAUUUCACGGAAGAGUUCAUUUGUUAAUAUUUCGUCAUGCGGGUUACGUUGAAACUAAAUAUUACGAGUAUGACUAAAUAAAAAGCCGAAAUAAUGUAAAAAAAAAAAAAAUAAUAAUGAAGGUACCGUGGAUUGGCAACACUUACAAUGUAAACAAACAGCUGAUCACGGGUCCGGAGCGAGGCAAGGAGAUAAAAUUAAUAAUAAACGAAGGAAAUAGAGCAAAUAGAAGGACGACAGCAGGCAGAGAGGGGCAGGAGAAGUAGCAGAAUCAGGGAAAGGCGUAUUGGUGCCAGUAAAUAAGGUGAGCGGUCACAGGGCCAACCCACUUCCUGCCGACACUUGAUUUGGGGCUUCGGAAAACAAGGGCACCAGUCAGCCUUGUACCUGCGCCGUCCACGAGUGCCCUCACCGGCCUGUCAUUGCACGUUGCCAGGGAAGCAAGAACGUGGAGGCUAGAGUAACAGGGGAACGAGCGGUGGCCAUCAGGGACGUGAGAGGCCUCCAGCAGUAUGCCUGGAGAUACUUGUGUGUGGAUGAGGGACGCAGACUCAAGAACCACAAGUGUAGGCUGACCAAGGUAACAGGGACGUGAGGGGUCUCCAGCAGCAUGCCUGAAGAUACUUGUGUGUGGACGAGGGACACACACUCAUUGGCUAUUGUAGGCUGUAUCUCUCUCUCUCUCUCUCUCUCUCUCUCUC